UUCCAGUGAAGGGCGCCGGGCGGACUCUUUCGGUCUGCUCCGUUCAAUGAGAAGCCUACGCGCUGGUUACCAAACUCCCAAAGUGUCAUACUUUGAAAAGACGGCAGUCAACUACCCUCUGACCUCGGAGUUAAAAAGAUGUGGUGAAGAUGACUUGCUGAAGUCAAAACUGAGCAUCGGAGGGAGAAGAAACAAGAUUUAAUUGGAUUUUAAACUUGGAGGGAUUCUUUGGGCCAGACAGGCUGGCCUGAAUCUUACAGAACCUGCUAAUCUACUGGGUGUGCAUGAGAACGUCCUGUUAACAUCAGAAGUACGAGGAGAAAGGACAGACUAAUGACGGAGAA